CUCAGUUCGGAUUGUAGGCUGCAACUCGCCUACAUGAAGUCGGAAUCGCUAGUAAUCGCGGAUCAGCAUGCCGCGGUGAAUACGUUCCCGGGCCCUGUACACACCGCCCGUCACACCAUGAGAGCCGGAAACACCCGAAGUCCGUAGCCUAACCGCAAGGGGGGCGCGGCCGAAGGUGGGUUUGGUAAUUGGGGUGAAGUCGUAACAAGGUAGC
rnacentral:rRNA from 1 species